CUCGCUAUCGCCGGCCUUUACAAGAUCAAGUGUAGUAUCUGUUCUUAUCAGUUUAAUAUCUGAUACGCCCCCUAUCUGGGGACCAUAUAAUAUUAAAUGGAUUUUUGGGACAGGGGAGAUGAAGAAGAGCUGUUUCCCCUGGUUCACCCACGCAUUGACCUGGUAUUGCAGUACCUCCAGGACCGGUGCACCUCUC